rnacentral:rRNA from 1 species
CUGGUAGUCCAUGCCGUAAACGUUGGGCACUAGGUGUGGGGGACAUUCCACGUUUUCCGCGCCGUAGCUAACGCAUUAAGUGCCCCGCCUGGGGAGUACGGCCGCAAGGCUAAAACUCAAAGGAAUUGACGGGGGCCCGCACAAGCGGCGGAGCAUGCGGAUUAAUUCGAUGCAACGCGAAGAACCUUACCAAGGCUUGACAUGAACCGGAAAUACCUGGAAACAGGUGCCCCGCUUGCGGUCGGUUUACAGGUGGUGCAUGGUUGUCGUCAGCUCGUGUCGUGAGAUGUUGGGUUAAGUCCCGCAACGAGCGCAACCCUCGUUCUAUGUUGCCAGCGCGUUAUGGCGGGGACUCAUAGGAGACUGCCGGGGUCAACUCGGAGGAAGGUGGGGACGACGUCAAAUCAUCAUGCCCCUUAUGUCUUGGGCUUCACGCAUGCUACAAUGGCCGGUACAAAGGGUUGCGAUACUGUGAGGUGGAGCUAAUCCCAAAAAGCCGGUCUCAGUUCGGAUUGGGGUCUGCAACUCGACCCCAUGAAGUCGGAGUCGCUAGUAAUCGCAGAUCAGCAACGCUGCGGUGAAUACGUUCCCGGGCCUUGUACACACCGCCCGUCAAGUCACGAAAGUUGGUAACACCCGAAGCCGGUGGCCUAACC